rnacentral:tRNA from 1 species
GUCAGAAUAGUUCAAAAAAAUGCCAGGUCGUGACCCUGGAGGUAGAAGAAACCCCAACCCUUCUUUCUGGC